CAAUUUAGCUCGCGAGCAAAUGUUUGCCGUUUCUUACGAUGCCAUUUAUUAUUUCUUGCAGGAUUUUCGCUGUCUAGGGAGUGCUUGAGGUUUGGGCACGGCACGCCACAAUCGACUUUGCGUCGCGUCUUUGCGCGUUUUGGUCGUUUUGCCGCUACGGUAUUUCAAAUGUCUUUCGCGUUUUCUUUUUUUUUUUUUAAUGCUGGCCAGCAUUUUUUCAUUCGUUUGUUUGUCGAAGGUUCGUAAAUGACGCCGCCGAUAAGCGCGUGUUUAUCUGACUAUAUGAAAUGUUAGUUCGACUAUAGUCAAUUAAACAAUUCUUUAUUAAUUUAUAUUAUGCGUGUGCCAUUUCCGUGUUAUGCAAACUGAGGAAUGUAACUAAUUUGUUACGUCAUGUCCAAAUCAGACCAAAUCUAUUCAAAGAUAACGCCCGCCCGCCCUCGUUCCGUUACGCAACAAACAUUUGCACGGGUUAUUUUCUCCCGUUUUGGACGCCGCAAACCUGGAUCAUCUGUCCAAUGUGAGCACUAAAAAAGGCCGCCCAGCCAGCAUCCUUCUAUACAAAGCAAGCAGGAGGCUCUUGAGGAGCCAUUUCAGUGAUGUUGAGGACACUGAGGAAGAGUAGUCCUAAAUCAGGCUGCAAGAGAAGCCGAAUGGGAUGAGGAAAAGUAUCAUUCCAUAUCCAAAGGCGCAAUGGCCUAUCCAAAGAACAAUGCCAUUUCAAAAGGAGCAAUGCCCUAUCCAAAGGAGCAAUGCCCUAUCCAAAGGAGCAAUGCCCUAUCCAAAGGAGCAAUGCCCUAGCCAAAGGCGCAAUGCCCUAUCCAAAGGCGCAAUGCCCUAUCCAAAGGCGCAAUGCCCUAUCCAAAGGCGCAAUGCCCUAUCCAAAGGCGCAAUGCCCUAUCCAAAGGCGCAAUGCCCUAUCCAAAGGCGCAAUGCCCUAUCCAAAGGCGCAAUGCCCUAUCCAAAGGAGCAAUGCCCUAUCCAAAGGAGCAAUGGCCAUAUGCAAAGGAGCAAUGGCCAUAUGCAAAGGAGCAAUGGCCAUAUGCAAAGGAGCAAUGGCCAUAUGCAAAGGAGCAAAGGCCUUAUGCAAAGGAGCAAUGCCAUGUCAAGUCAAGAAUGAAGCAGCAUGCUGCAAAAGUCGACGUGUACGGAUCAUGUGCCCAGGAGGGGGCAGUGUGGUUGCCUUUGGUUAUGGGUGCACGACGGAAAGGUUGCAGGUGUGGACAGUGUUUGGGGCUCUGAUGGUUGGUCUUGCUUAAGAGGUGUGCUGUGGUUGCGGCUUGUCUGGAUCCAGCGUUGUCUUGCGCUUGGUUGCCAUUGAUGGCUCACUUGGGGGAGGACGUGGUUACGUGGAUGGACACAAAACCAAACUUUGCCAUAUGACUUGUACCAUUUUGUCUUUUUCUAACCUGCCACUGUCGUACUUGCUGCGUUCUUUGUUCUCCCCCCUCGGUGUAGGGCGGCGUUGGAGCGAGCCCAUCCCGAAUGUCCAAUUUUGCAAUUUGACUUGUGACAUUUUGUCUUUUUCUAACCUACCACUGUUGCACUUGCUCUAACCCUAACCUACCACUGUGAUACUUGCGUUCUUUGUUCUCCCCUAGGUGUUGGAGCGAGACAUUCACAUUUUGUGUCUUUUUCUAACCUACCACUGUCGUGCUUGAUCUAAGCCUAACCUACUACUGUGCGUCCUUUGUUCUCUAGGUGUAGGGGGCGGUGUUGGGGCGAGCCGGUCCACGAGGAAGACGUAAUGAUGCGAGCUGCGCCCAACUCAUUGCAUGUUCUGCCUUUUGCAGGCCGGACGCAAAAGGGGGGGCGGCGCACGGCCCGAUCCGACCCGGCGACGGUCACCAAGAGUAGCUAGCCGCUGUGAUCAAAUGGCGACCGGGACGCGACACCAUCUGAUCAGAGGUGGACGGACCGCUGUGGCAUCGCUCUGAAGUAGCCUAGUUCUGAGGGAGACCCGCUUCCCUGGAGGCGUCGACCUGCGCAGCUUCAACGUGUGAAAUGGAUUUAUUUAUUUUUUUUAAAUUCACACCAGCGGUGUCCAAAUGUCUGUUUGAGGGCUGCAUACUGAAACAAAUUCAGAAUUCUUUGACACAAAUUCAUUAAAUCAAUCACGGAAUUUUGCCAUUCAUAUUUUGUGCUACUGCUACAAAGCGGUGUUGUGUUCAUUCAUGUGGUGUGUUGAUAAAGUUGCCCCGAGGCUGCCAUUUGGACACCAAUGGUGACAUGUGUAGGGCUGCACGCGUAUUGGAAAACUGCCAUAUGGUGGUAUAGGUUAUUGACAUGCACUUUAAGAAAGCUUUUAAGAUUUUUUUUUAAUGUGGCAAAUGAAACAUGUUUUCUUGCCUAACUAUUUGUAAUGAGUUUAGAAGAUAAGUCAUUGAUGCAAGUUAAAGUUAACUAAUCUCACUGAUCUCAUUGCGAUUAAAUAGUUCACCUCCAUCCCAGAAUUUUGCACAACUUUGCUCAAUGCAACGGUCUGGCCCAAUAUGCCAUAUCACUGAUUUUCCAACAUGUCGUGCAGCCCUGAUUGAGUGCCAAACGCGCAGCGACGGCAAGCGACCGCGCAAGCGACGGCAAGCGCAAGCGACCGCGCAAGCGACGGCAAGCGCAAGCGACCGCGCAAGCGACCGCGCAAGCGACGGCAAGCGCAAGCGACGGCAAGCGCAAGCGACGGCAAGCGCAAGCGACGGCAAGCGCAAGCGACGGCAAGCGCAAGCGACGGCAAGCGCAAGCGACGGCAAGCGCAAGCGACGGCAAGCGCAAGCGACUGCGCAGCGAGACUUUUGUGCUUGUCUUGAGAGGUGGAAGAGACAAUGCACGAAACGAAGAGCCGGCGGACGGAGGCCACCAGACCAGUGAGCGGGGUGCAAAGGAAGGAAUCACCCAAAGAAAGCAGUCGCCAAGUGAUUAAGAAGAGCCUGACGCAUGACUGGCCAAGGCUGGCCAGAGGGUUGCCGGGGCAGCGGAUGGGACGAGCGCCAGCCCGCACCGAGAGGGACCGGGCCGCACCCACAAGACCAGGGAGGGGGCAGGCGGAAGACGAGUCCAACACCGGCCGGAGCAGACCCGGACCUUGGCCCGUGACGAGCGGCGAUGCGGCGAGGCCGGGAGGGCAAAGCGCCCAGCCAGCGUUGAGGGGGAGUAUGACUUUGGUUUUUCUUUUGCGCUUUCCCUACCCCUGUCUGUUUGAAUAGGAUAACUAGCAGCACGCACGGGCAAUUGGGUUGCUGUGACCCUCUAGAUACGAAUUGGCAAAGUAGACACCCCCUUCCUCCCUCCCUCCCUCUCUCGCUCUCUUUCUCUGAUGCGCCCGGCAGUACCUGCAUGGCCUGGUGCACUCAGGGUGGAACGUGGCUAUACCUUGCCCUUUGUGGAAUACCAGGGUAUAAUGUCUGCCUGCCUGGGUCCCAGUGUCGUCGACGGUGUCGAGGUCGAUGAGAUUCUCCGUGACGCCCUCCGUGACGUCACGUUUUCCUUUUUUUUUUCCUCUCGGGGCCAAGCCAGCUCUCCUGGCCGGUUGUGCUUUAGUGCGCACCAAAGCCUCUUCUCAUCUCCUCUUGCUCUCUCUCUCCCUCCAUCCCUCCCUUUUUGUAAGGGGUUAAACCUUUCAUAACCCGGAUCGCUCCAAUGCGGGAGGGCCGUAUGAGACAUGCGCCAGCCCGUGCGUGCCGCUAGUUGCCUGAUUCAAACUUACCUGUCAAGGUCGCUAGUGGAAAUUUUCCUCUUGCCAAAACCACCACAAUAUGUCUGCCUUUCAGGAUUGCCGAGGCAGCUGAUCGGACGAGUGCCUGCACAGAGAGGGACCGGAGCGCGAGACCAGAGGUUGCGCGAGGCGGAGGAUGAGUCCAAACGUCGAAUACGGGCCGGGAGGGGACCCGAACCAUCGGCCGACCUUCGCCCGUGACGAGCGGCCUACACGAGACGGACGGACGGACGGGUGCAGAUGCGGCGAGGGCAAAGUGCCCAGCCAGCAUUUAAGGAGAGUAUCACUUUGGUUUUCCUUUUUGUGCUUUCUUUCUUUCACUCCCUCCACCUUUUCACUGGGUGUGCACACUGGCUGUCUGCAUGAUGCCUCUUUCUUUCUCAGCGCGUCAUUUUGCAAUAUUGUUUUAUUGUUGUUUUUUUUAAUACAUGAAGUGAACUGUUUGGACUGUAAUUGUGUGUACCUCUGAACCUGAAUUAAACUGAACUGAGUUCAAGUGGUCCAUUUUAAACAUUGGCAUGCGCACAUACAAACUGGAAUCAUUUGAGACAUUCUCAAUGAUCAGGCAAUUGUAAAGUUAGUCUCAAACAAAAUUGUCUUGUUAAAUAUGCAGUGUCAGGCUUUUUAUUUUUACUCCACAAAGAAAAGCUGUAUGCAUUCUAAAUGGUUGACAAAAGCCAAGUAGCCUGACACCCAUAGAUUCAAACGACAAGCGUAAGUGUACAGUGUCGUGAUACAUAAGUCUUCUUUGGCAACCCUGCUUUAAAAUGGCCACCGAACUCAAUCUUGCUUUAUGUUGGUGCAUUUUUCUGUAUGAGUAAAAGUCCAUUUUAAUCAAGUCUGGCUUUUUUUUUUUUUAAAUCAUGCAUGUGGGCAUUCUUGUGAAUAAAGUCCACGUUGGUGUGUUUUCUUCCGGUUUGUGGUCUUGUAAAUAAAGUCAACUUUGGUGUCAGUCAUCAUUCACGAUGCGCCUCAAUUGAUGCUGCAUCUCUUAAAUAUGAA